rnacentral:piRNA from 1 species
UCUCUGGACCAGGCUGCCACUUACAUGC